rnacentral:rRNA from 1 species
AUUGAACGCUGGCGGCAGGCCUAACACAUGCAAGUCGAGCGGAUGAAGGGAGCUUGCUCCUGGAUUCAGCGGCGGACGGGUGAGUAAUGCCUAGGAAUCUGCCUGGUAGUGGGGGAUAACGUCCGGAAACGGGCGCUAAUACCGCAUACGUCCUGAGGGAGAAAGUGGGGGAUCUUCGGACCUCACGCUAUCAGAUGAGCCUAGGUCGGAUUAGCUAGUUGGUGGGGUAAAGGCCUACCAAGGCGACGAUCCGUAACUGGUCUGAGAGGAUGAUCAGUCACACUGGAACGGAGACACGGUCCAGGCUCCUAGGGGAGGAAGCAGGGGGGAAUAUGGGAAAAGGGGGGAAAGCCUGAUCCAGCCAGGCCGCGUGUGUGAAGAAGGUCUUCGGAUUGUAAAGCACUUUAAGUUGGGGGGAAGGGAAGAAAGUUAAAACCUUGCUGUUUUGACUUUACCAACAGAAUAAACACCGGCUAACUUCGU